rnacentral:rRNA from 1 species
GCCUAAAACCUAGCUCUACCACUACCUAUGUACUUAACCACCUACGAACUUAAACUAAAACAUUUAAACAAUUUAGUAAAGGAGAUUAAAAAAUUUUUCUGAAGCAAUAAAACCAGUACCGCAAGGGAAAGAUGAAAUAUGAAUGAAAAAUCUUUAAGCAAAAAAAAGUAGAGCUAGACCCUCGUACCUUUUGCAUCAUGGUUCAACUAGUCCAAUCAAGCAAAAAGCAUUACAGUUUGACCCCCCGAAACUAAGCGAGCUACUUCAGGGCAGCUUAUUGAGCCAACCCGUCUCUGUGGCAAAAGAGUGGGAAGACCCCCAAGUAGUGGCGACAUACCUAACGAGCUUAGUGAUAGCUGGUUACUCAAGAAAAGGAUUUUAGUCCAACCUAAAGUCUCCCCCUUAAACCAAAAACACCUCUUGACUUUAGAGCAAAUCAAAUAAGGUACAGCCUAUUUGAAACAGGAUACAACCUCACCUGACGGGUAAGCUUUCACCCUGACUUUUAAGUGGGCCUAAGAGCAGCCACCUUUCUAAAAGCGUCACAGCUUAGUCUUCCUACCCCCCCCCCAAUUUCUAAUAUCAUCUCAACCCCUCUUACACUAUUGAGUAAUCCUAUACCCCUAUAGAAAAUUUUAUGUUGAAACUAGUAACAAGAAGACUAGACCUUCUCUAAAGUGCAAACAUAAGUCAGAAAGGAUAAACCACUGACAAUUAACGCCCAUGAACACCUAUUAGCAACUUUUCCCCCCAAGAAAAACCUAAUUUCUCCCACGUUAACCUGACACAAGAGCACUUCAAGAAAGAUUAAAAGAAAAAGAAGGAACUCGGCGAAUCUUAACCCCGCCUGUUUACCAAAAACAUCGCCUCUUGCAUAAAAAUAAGAGGUCCAGCCUGCCCAGUGACAAUUGUUCAACGGCCGCGGUAUCCUAACCGUGCGAAGGUAGCGUAAUCACUUGUUCUUUAAAUGAGGACUAGUAUGAACGGCAUCACGAGGGUUAUACUGUCUCCUUUUUCCAAUCAGUGAAACUAAUCUCCCCGUGAAGAAGCGGGGAUACAACUAUAAGACGAGAAGACCCUAUGGAGCUUUAAAUUUCUCUUCAGAAGCCAGACUACCCAAACAAGUCACCGACCCCCUCCUCACUAACCCUUGGCACCAUGAAGAAGACUUUUAGGUUGGGGUGACCACGGAGCACAAAAAAACCUCCAUGCUGAACUAGGCCUCAUAACCUUUAGCUGAGGGCUACAACCCGACGCAUUAACAAACUAACACCCAUUGACCCAAUAACCAUUGAUCAACGAACCAAGUUACCCUAGGGAUAACAGCGCAAUCCACUUCAAGAGUCCUUAUCGACAAGUGGGUUUACGACCUCGAUGUUGGAUCAGGGUAUCCCAGUGGUGCAGCCGCUACUAAUGGUUCGUUUGUUCAACGAUUAAAACCCU